GCAUAAACAGAAACGAUCAAAAGUUAUCACAAAGUAGACAAAACCAGAAAAACAGUAAUAUAAAUGAAACGCACAAAAAUUUACGUGAAAAAUUUUUUGUAGAAAAAAAAAACCAUUAGCGAAGAAAAAAACACUUCAAUAUGAAAAAGGAAGUACAAUAUUUACCAGAGAUUACAAUAUGUUGUAUCCCCCCCUCCUUAAUUUCCCGAUGUCAAUGAUGGACUACAAGCUCGGGCCUAUCAGCCCACCCCAGACAUCUAUUUCUUUCUUAACAAAUUUUUCCGCUACCCACCAAAGAAAUUUAUUUUUUUCUUCACAAAUUCUUUUUUAAAAAUU
rnacentral:lncRNA from 1 species